CCAACGGCCCUCCGCGGGGGCAGCGCCUCGCGCCGCCCUCGCCCCGAGCGCCUUUGUCUGCUGCCCUCGCCCAAAGGCCGGGGCGCCGGCCUGGCCGCGGCUCUCGGGCCCUUCCUCAGGGACAGCGGCGAGCUGCAGCCCGCGGGUUAACCACGGCCGCCACAGAGCCCCCAGGGAGCGGCGAGACGGGAACGGCGACAGCUUCCGAACCGCUUCUCGCACAGAUCUGUUAGCUUCACACCUAGCGCUCACCCCCCUCUCCCCAGCCCACGAAAAACAAGCUCGGGUGCUGGUUCACGUGGGCUAACGUGGUUCUGUGAUCAUCUUAUAGGUGAGAAACAAUACUGCACCAAACACCCGGCACAGCACGCUCUGUGAGCGUGGGUAGCAGCUUGGAUGGCUGGCUCCGUCCCCCUCGGCUCUGCUACUGCCAUCGCCUUUUCCUUGGUGCCAACGCUUGCCCCAAGACUGCCCUGCGCUGCCUACGGAUCCGUCUCCUGCAGGCAGCGUAAACUGCCGCUGAGCCCGCUCAGGCGUCCUUCACCUGCGUGCUGGCGAUGGUGGCUUUUCGCUUGAAGCUUGUCUAUAGUGCCCAUCUUCCGUAGGGACAGGGACGCAGAAGGAAAGCUCUCUGCGCUCGACGUGGGGCUGACGGUGCUUUCUGGCCGCGUUAGAUUGUGCCCUUACGGCUGCCAAACCCAGGUGGAUGCAGAGUGCAGCCCUGCUGAAAGUAGGUCAACGGGGAGUGGGAAUAGGGUUGUGCAAGUAAUUGAUUUUUCACAGCCAAAUAAGAGAGAGGGAAGUAAUUCAGAAGACAGCCAAAAUAAAUGUUAUUCUUUCCUUACAUUCUUGUUUCAGUGAGGCGGGGGGGGGAAACCCAAACCUUACUCUUGUAUCAAACAAAACAUGUUCGACGUGAAAUGGUGCUUGUAAGCUAGAAAGGAAAGCAAAUGGUUUGCUGCUUAAACAUUUUCUGUUAUCCUGGAACCCACUGGUAAAGGCACUCAUCCAAGAAGCGGGAGGCCCACGCUCCGUUUCCUUCUCUGCCUGAUGUGAUUUGAAGCUGUAUCGCUCAGGUAGCUGUUCUAAUCAUCAGACUUUUGGGCAGUUCAUCGCUUCAAUAAGCUAUUUGUAUUUUUAAUUGCAUUUAAGGUAAAAAUACACAGUAGCCUUCUAUUUCACUUGCAGCUGUUUCAUAACACCUUAGCCCCAAAGCUUGAGACAUAAGGCUAAAGGAUAAUCCAUAGCUGGGAGCUUUUGAACUGUUGGAGCUGCUCUGGUUUGCAUACAUGAUUCAGCAUUCACUUGCAGAAUAUCUGCCAGGGGUCCAGUUUGCAGAGCGUCCUGAACAUCAGUUUGAAGAGUUUCUCUCUCUUUUUCUCAGUGAAUUAGUCCACACACAGUAAAAUAACUCCAGAAGCAAAAACUGAACCCACCUUGUAACCUGGUAGUUGUGUUAUUCUGCCAGGAGACUGGCACCCUCGGUCUGGAUAUGCUCACUGUUCAUCUACAGUUCAGGGAUAUGAGUUUGGUGAAUGCUGAAGCCAACGUACAGCGUAGGCAGCACUAAGUCUUUGGCAGUUUUAUGAACGUAGGUUCUAAUUAAUCAUUUGUUUUUUUUUUCAGAAGAAACAACUUGACUCAAAUUCUUGUUUCAGAAUGAACACACAUGUAUUUUUUGGUAAAGAUUUUAUUUGCCAAACAUUUUCUCAUCGCUAAAAGGAAGUUCAUAGACCUGUAUAAACUUUGACAAGCGGAGUUGGUGUUUUUAUUAACGAUGUGCAUGUAAACAAAUAAAUGUUAUUUCUGACCCUUGCACUAACGGAGUUGCAGCAGAGACAAAAGUCCCAAUGACACAGCUCCCACCCGAGGUUAAUGAACUGUUUGCAAGACCAGAGUAGACAGAUGACUCCAGUGCCAAACAGAUGUGCCAGACAGAGGUACCUCAUUCGUGCCGCAAA